rnacentral:rRNA from 1 species
UACAGAGGAAGCUAACGUUGUCCGGAUUCACUGGGCGUAAAGGGCUUGUAGGUUGCCAAAUAAGUCAGGUGUGAAAUCGUAUAGCUCAACUAUACAACCGCAUCUGAUACUGUUUGGCUUGAGUGCAGCAUGGGUAAUUGGAAUUUUCGGUGUAGCGGUGAAAUGCGUAGAUAUCGAAAAGAACACCUGUGGCGAAGGCGGAUUACUGGGCUGCAACUGACACUGAGGAGCGAAAGCCAGGGGAGCAAAC